UCACCCAACUGGGCCUUUUUCUGCGCUGAGAGUCUUCCUGUAUGACUCCUCUUCGGGGUCGUACCAGAGACGGUGGAUAAUGUCGAGGAGCGUCACCGGCCUCUGUAAACGGGAUGUUGUGCAGGAUGUGCAGGAGGAAAUGUAAAGGAUAGCCGAAAUCUAUAUUUUCUCCUUGAAACGGUGCUUGUAUCGUUUGAGCUUUCGGGUUUAUGCUCAAUUACUUAAUAUCCAGUGGUGAAAAAAACACAAAAAAAAGAUUCGUUGCUAGAUUUUAUUGAGAAUAGUCACCAGGCCCCCAACGACGCGAACGAAAAUAACGACUAUCGACAACACCGUCCUUACCUUCUAUUCGACCACACUUUACUUUGCUUGCUACGAUAGGAAAAAAAUUGUUGGCAUAUCGACAAAAAUGAUCUCACCUCUGCUUGGAGCCCCUCGAUUCGUCGCAAUGAGAUUGAUGCCUAUAUGCAUUCGAUAUCAAGGACACGCAUACGAUUGAUUGUACAGGUUCACUUAGCAGUAAUUGUCUUUGGGCUAGCCGUAUAAGCCCCCCUGAGGCAAGGCGUAAACCGACACCAGAAUUAGAAAGGCAGGGAGCUUUUCUAUUAAAGUUCUUUUCUAUAACUAAUUUAAGCAGAAUAUCGGCUAAACACGUCACGGAAAGGUAUGCUCCUGUAAAGUGUGGUCAUACUUACCAACAUCAGAGCGUAACCCACUCUGGGUACAGCGCAAGGAAUUCGAGGACCUCCCCUUAUGCGCAUAGAACGAAGUAAAACAUAAGAAACGAUUGAUUUGGGAGGCGAUUUGUUUUCCAGUUCGUGGCGCCUUCAAUUCAAAAUAUUGAAGUGUAAAUAAAAUAAGCCCAAAGUGGAUAUAGUAGUCCAAGAUGAGUUGAUUAGAAAAUGCGUUCAUAAUUUUCAUAUACCAGCUAAAUGAACAUAAUGAAUACGGGAGAUUAAGUGUAGAAUAAUGCCAAAACGUAUUCAAAUAUUAAUUUUUAAAACAUAUUAAAGUAUUUUAUUAGCAGAUUACCCAAGAGGAUAUUCUCAGCACCACGUAGGCUUACGUCGAUGGAUAAAAGAUCUUGAAGACCUUCGACGAGCCUUCAAGAGUUGUCUUCUAAAAAUUAGUAUCGUUUUCGGCAAGCAUUGACACUUUUAGGUGAAGCACCUUCAAAUGCUUCCUAAACAAUUCCUGAACUGGAUAAGAGUGUUUGAAAUGCGAUGAAUGUUUCUGGCACUUGUUUCAGUUCGACCAUAAAAAAGUCCGCUCAACAUUACAUUCCGUUUGCUUUGCCCCGGCUUCUUCAACGAUCGUGUCUGACACUUGAAAAUGUUCUUACGAUUGUUCCACGUUCAUGAUAUGAUACGUAUCUAUGUAUCAGCUUGUUGCCGAAUGAUCGAAGACUGAUUUCUUACACAAAUGUUAAGCUUUUCCUUUCGAAACUAUAUGUGUAAUAUUUUUGAAAUGUUGCGCAAGGGCUGCUGCGGUUUUGGGCUUACUUCAAAUAAAUACGAGGAUAUUGAGCGAUUGAA